CUGUAUUACUUUGAUACUGAAGAAAACUUAAAAACGUACAUAUUUUUCAGGCAGGUUCUGCAGUUAUAAGAAGCGUCAUAUUUCUAUGAUUUCUAAGCGGGUUUAUUGACGUUUAUUCGCGAUGGGCAUGGAGACAAUGAUAUCCCAGUAAAGUUUGUAGAUGGCCUCUAUCACCGGAUUCCCACAUGCAAUCACUCCCCAUUGUGUUUACUGGAAUGACAAAGUCUGAACUGUCAGGAACUGAAUCCAAGUCUCUAAAAGCGGUAAUCAGAUUUAUCUUGGGACCCAACACCCAGAUUGGGAAACAGAAAUAACAUAACUUUCCUGGUCUGAAUGAAUGAAGCAGUGUAACCCAUGUAACUCUGCCCAGCUGGCACAGCCUGAGUUGUAAAGUCAUUUGGAGUAUCUUUGAGCACUGUGUAGCAAUGAAAGAUACUUUUGAGAGCUUUUGCAGUGUGUCUGGGGAGGAAUAUAAACCAUUUCAGAAUAAUAAUGUGAGAUUUGUGACUAACAGUUUUGCAAAGCGUAGUCUACCAUUUCGGGUAGUCUGUGAAGCCGACAACAACCCACUUAGGCCUGAAUCUCUAACUUGCUACUUACAUCAUUGAUACUUACAGAUAGUUACAGUGAGUUAUACACAGCAGUAUUUAAAGGCAAGUUCUGAGGCAGACAUUAAGUAAUUGGCAUAUCAAUCAUCCAUGAACCAAUGCAGAUGAGUAGAUGUUUCAGCAGAGAAUAAAAUGGGCAUGUUGGCUUCAUCAUUAUUUCUCACAGUGACCUGUUAUCUCUCACAGAGGAAAUAUAAAGCCGAAUGCAUCCCUAGCUGAACAUUCAUUGAUGGCGUGUGAGCUAUAGUGAUGGGUUUUAUUAAGUUCCUCUGAAGAGGGAAGAGCAUGUUUAAUUCAAUUCAAUUUUCUCACUUAGUGUAGAUUAGAACAGGUUAGCUAAUUUUCCCUUUGUCGGAGGCAUAAUCCUUAUAGGCCAAUUAUUGGUGAAAUAAUAUCAGAAACAAAGCUUUUGUCAUAUUUUCAAUCAGAAAACAAGAAAGAUGCCAAGUGCUGCAGAUGUAAACACAGUAAAAAUGUUUUUUUUUAGACAUGCUGUGUGGCUGUAUGGAUGGCAAUGUUGGUUUGUUGGUUGGUCCAGCAUCAACUAUUAGAUGGAUUGCCAUGAAAUUUUGUAUAGACAUUCGUGGUCCCCAGAGGAUGAAUCAUACUGACAUAUGCUGUAUGUGCUCGUAUCAUGCCUGUAGUGGUAUACUUUUUGUACUAUUAAACCAAAUAAAAUACACUUUUUCCUUUAA